UGUAAGCGUAUACCAAAGUUGUUGCAGUUAAAACGCUCGUAGUCGGAAUUUGGCAGUUCCGGAAGUGUGCACGUCGUGUGCGCACUUUGCGGGGAUUGCUUUUGUGGUCUUGCGUAGGAUGAGGCACUUUUAUUAGUGAACGUCCUCACGCAACCACUUUUUACUGUGAGAAAAUCAGAGUGCUCAAAGCAGGCAUUUGCCGUGAAUGUAUUAGCAUGGAAUAAUAGAAUAGGACUUGGUUCUAUUUUGUUGGUUUGUUGGGACUGAGUAAUGAUUAAGAGGGACAGUUGGGGGCAUUUGUAUUUCGGUGCUAGAGGUGAAAUUCUUAGAUUACCGAAAGACAAACUGCUGCGAAAGCGUCUGCCAAGGAUGUUUUCAUUGA
rnacentral:rRNA from 1 species